rnacentral:lncRNA from 1 species
AUAUCUUCAGCACGUUUCAUCAGGAUUGGAAUUAAAUAUAUUGCUGCGAUGUGUGAUAGAUCAUCGGCGAGGCAAGAUACUCGGUGGAGGACAUCGUGAAUUCAUAUAAUCAAUCCCUGGCAUAAUGCCUCAUCAUUGGGUAAUAAUAGUACUUGUUUUCUUAUAUUUAUCUUUCAUACUCUGGAACUAUUGAGCUCAGGUAUGAGUACUCCUUUUUAGGACAGGAGAGAGGAUACUACUCUACAACUUUCACAUUUAGGAAGCAUAAAAGGAAACAAGCAGAGAUCGAUUAUAUGUGUAUCUAAUCAUUAUGUAGUUGAUAAUAACAUGCCUUUGAGUGAUGAUUUGUGAUGUAAUAACCUCCCAUUUGUAGAAAUAACAACCAAUAAGUGUUUACUUCCCUUCCAUUUUUUAGAUUUGUGUGGUGCAAACAUAUUAAUAAUAUAUAGAUAUAGUUGCAUACCUACAAAAACAUCAAAUAUAUACACAGUGUUGGAGACCCUUUUGUCCAGUUGAGCAUACGCCAUUGAAGCUGCAGGCCGCAGCAGGAUUACUAAGGAUACGCAGCUGAAGGUGAGUGUUUCCUGGUGCUCCCUGGUAUCUAUAUUGUUAUGUACGGCUUAGCAAAUUUAUUCUCUGUGACAGUUACUUGCAUAGGCGUGGUUGGUGCAAGGUGAUUCUUCCCUACGACGGCAGAGCCAACAGCGAACUGGGAGGUGUUGCGGCUCCUUUGCAACUACACGCACCUUGGUUAGCUUUACUCAACCUUUGCAUCCCCUCUUGCUUGCUUUCGUUCUUACAGACAGCAUAUCUAGGAAUCAUACCUAUACAUUGGGGACAAUAUAAUAGUUAAACAGAAGACUCGCCAAUCCGCAAAACUAGCUUUGUUUAUAGAUUUUUUACCUCUCAAACUAUGAAUCUGAAUAAGCAGUCUGUAGCAUGCAAAUGAACUAACCAGCAAAACCAGUGACUUAUUGAAGCUACCAAGAAAAU